UGGAACCAAGAGCAUGAAACCCCUGGCAACGAGCAUGACACCCAGUGCAUGAAACCCCUGACAACGAGCAGCAUCUUACACACAAUGUGCUACUGUAUGGCUGAAGUGGACAUACAUAUAUUUACAGGAUGUGGACAAGGCCAUUUUGCUCGGAUUCCAUUUCAUCUUUUACUGACUUCGUUUGAUACUCACAAUCAAGCUGAGGGGAGUGUGGUUCACGUCUUGGAGGUGUGUCCAAAAUUUGGAGUGUGGGGCCCGAACAUACUGUCGAUAAUCUUCGUGGCGGGGUAGCCUGCUGUGGUUGGCCCUGGACAUCAGACCUUGCUUUCUUUGCUGCCCCAUUUUUUUUUGCCUGUUGUGUUACUGAAGUCCAACUUCUGCUGCUCCAGACUUCUUUUGAUGGACCUAGUAUUGAAAGUGAAAUGUUGUUAUGGCCAUUCCUUUACAAACAUACCCUAUACUACAAUGGACACUUUACCGGCUUCCGCCCCGUCAACAUUAUCAAAUGUAAUGGGAGUUACUGUCGGACAACCAGUACUGCUUUUUUCCAACACUGUAAAACCAAAAUAAGAAAUCAUGUAAUCAUGCUAUUGUGGAUACAUCCACCCAUUAUGCUUAUACACAUUAAUUAAAUAAAAAGAGCGUGUUUUGC